AAAUAUAUAAUAUGAAAUUGGAUUGCAAUGACAAAACCAAUGGAAGCUUCGCCUAGCUGUGGGGUAUGAAGGGAUGACGAUAAGGAUGAUAAUUAGAAGUAAUGAGAAGAAGAAUGAUGAUAUAUAGAGAACUAAAGGUACACUUGCAACCAGUUCGGAUCCUGCACUGGGGUUGAAUGACAGUCGUUCUUCGAGAAACAAUGUUACAUUACCUGAUCGAAGUCAAAUCAGCGCGAACAUGCAGGUUAUCGGAAAUGGCGGGAAUCAUAGCGAGAUGAGAUAUCUG